UUUCCGUAGGUGAACCUGCGGAAGGAUCAGUCUUGAUAACACAAGCUGAUGCUGCUGGAUGCGGCCUAUGCUGCUCAGUGCGCGUUGGGGAGGCUGUCGUGUCAAAAGCGACGGUUUCCAAUCCCUUCUGUGGCCCAUGGUCACGUUAAUUGGCGCGAGGGCUUAUGCCCCGCCCCGUGCUUCACAUGUUCGAGUCGGGUGUGAAGCGCGUGUCCCUACCGAACAGCAAUUAAAUAUAUGGGACUUCACUGAUCGCUGGGAUGCCUUGUAUUGCACGAUGGCGUAAGACCCGCGAGGCCACGGCCAUACUAUCAAUAUAACUAUCAUGAAACAUACAGUUAAUUACAACUGGUAGCGUUGGAUCCCUCGGCAUG
rnacentral:misc_RNA from 1 species